rnacentral:rRNA from 1 species
GAGGGGGGCUGCUCCUAGUACGAGAGGACCGGAGUGGACGCAUCACUGGUGUUCGGGUUGUCAUGCCAAUGGCACUGCCCGGUAGCUAAAUGCGGAAGAGAUAAGUGCUGAAAGCAUCUAAGCACGAAACUUGCCCCGAGAUGAGUUCUCCCUGACUCCUUGAGAGUCCUGAAGGAACGUUGAAGACGACGACGUUGAUAGGCCGGGUGUGUAAGCGCAGCGAUGCGUUGAGCUAACCGGUACUAAUGAACCGUGAGGCUUAACCUU